UAAUUUAUGUUGCACUGAUUGAAUUUUGUGGUCCACCAAAUCAAGAAAAAGCAAUUAAAAUUAUAGAAAAAUUCGAGAUAAAAUUUAUAAGCAAAAGCAUUUUAAGAAUGUUUGUUGAAUUUGAUUAAAAUAAGCAUUAAAUGUAAAAGUCUAAAAGGCAUUCCAUGUUGCUCUAGUUUGUUCUUCAAAGUGCAACUCAAAGCUUUAUGAGUAAAGCGAGUUGGAGACUUCAUAAUUUUCCAUUAAACAGUUCAGAGAAUUCUACGUGAUCGUAGUGGAUUUGUCAUUUCCUUAAAGAACACGUCAUUUUGAACUAAUAAUAAAUUAAAUUUAUUAAUGAAAGCUCAAUCAAUAUGCUGUCUGUUACAAGGGCCUCCUGCUGCUGAUAUCGAUACAUGUACCUGGCUAUAUGCAAAAGCAUUUAUCAAUCGAAUGGCCUGCGGACAGCGUUGAUGACAAGGGCAAUAAUAAAGAGGCCGCUCUUUGUAGUCGAUAUUGAAAGUGACCACACACGCAGCCCGCUCCGCAUGUUAUUUACAGUUAAUUGCUGCUGGCGGCGAAUGAAUGUUAAAUUACAUUGAUAGUUCCAUCAGCCGCAGAAGCAAUUUUUUUUC